rnacentral:sRNA from 1 species
UGUACCACAUUAAACUAUAGUUAAAUAGGAAAUAUAUAUAUUUACUAGUACAGAACUGUUUCAUUUAAAGAUAAAUUAUGCUGGGUCAAACUUCUGUUCACAUUCCCCAGCCCCCUGUGAUACUGGGGACAAAGCAUUCAUUUCCACAUAAGCCAACUAUGCAAACACAGAGGUCAGAAAACAACCUGACAGAAGCAGUUCUUUUUCUCUACCAUGGGUACUCAGGGACUGAACUCGGGCUGUCAAGUUUUGCUGCAGGUGCCUUUACUUGUGAAGCCAUUUUGCUGGCCCAUCCCAACCUUCUUUGUACUUUUUCUUACACCAUGCUAAGGACUGAACACAGAGCUCCACACAUGACAGAAGCAGUAGCAAGUAAUAGCAGGUUGCCAUGGAGACGAGAAACUAGAGGGAUCAGAGAACUCAAUUUGCAGUUAAAUGGGCUGGAAACAAUCCUUACAAGUUGGUGAAAGAAAAUGAUUAAAAAUAUACUUGAUUGCCAGAGGGAUUCUUGUGCACCUAGCCAUUUCUUAACCUCAUUAAUGAACAAGGAAAUCUCAACCUCCCCACCCC